UUGCAGCCACGCGCACCGAAGGCUACGGCAGCGACACCUAUUGCUGGCUAACCAAUCAGAAUAUGCUCAUGUUAGCUUUUGUAAUUCCGGUCGGGACUGUGGUGUGCGCAAACAUUGUAUUGCUCGCCCUUGUUUUCCGAGCAAUGUUUCAUUCUCAAGCCGUGAGGAGGAAAACAAACAGAGAGCGGGUCGGAACGACGUUGCGGAGUCUGUGCGUGUUGGUGCCUCUUCUCGGUGUGACGUGGAUAUUUGGAUUUCUACAGUCAAUCGAUUACCUGA